rnacentral:rRNA from 1 species
AGAGUUUGAUCAUGGCUCAGGAUGAACGCUAGCUACAGGCUUAACACAUGCAAGUCGAGGGGAAACGGACAUCGAAAGCUUGCUUUUGUAUGGGCGUCGACCGGCGCACGGGUGAGUAACGCGUAUCCAACCUGCCCACCACUUGGGGAGUAACCUUGCGAAAGUAAAGACUAAUACCCAACUGAUAUCUCUAGAAGACAUCUGAAAGAGAUUAAAGAUUCAUCGGUGAUGGAUGGGGAUGCGUCUGAUUAGCCUGUUGGCGGGGUAACGGCCCACCAAGGCAACGAUCAGUAGGGGUUCUGAGAGGAAGGUCCCCCACAUUGGAACUGAGACACGGUCCAAACUCCUACGGGAGGCAGCA